CUCUAUGAAGAGCAUUAGCAAUAUUUUCUGUCAUCAUGAAUCGUUAAAAUAGAAGGAGGGAGUGCCUUUAGUGGCUUUCUGACAGUCACAAAAGACAUGUUCUAAAUGUAUUUCCAUUUUUCUAAAAUGGCAGUGUUUCACAUUAUAUUGCAGUGGUUAUGGUGCUCAAAAGGGCCUCUUUAAGAAAGUAUGCAAUUACAUUAAAUAUUACUUAAUAGAUUGAUGAGCAAAACAUUUUCCUAAAAAUAAAAAUUAUAAAGUGCGUUAAUUAUG